rnacentral:rRNA from 1 species
GAACGACUGCUAAUACCGCAUAAUGUCUACGGACCAAAGGGGGCUUCGGCUCUCGCCUUUAGAUUGGCCCAAGUGGGAUUAGCUAGUUGGUGAGGUAAUGGCUCACCAAGGCGACGAUCCCUAGCUGGUUUGAGAGGAUGAUCAGCCACACUGGGACUGAGACACGGCCCAGACUCCUACGGGAGGCAGCAGUGGGGAAUAUUGCACAAUGGGCGCAAGCCUGAUGCAGCCAUGCCGCGUGUGUGAAGAAGGCCUUCGGGUUGUAAAGCACUUUCAGUCAGGAGGAAAGGUUAGUAGUUAAUACCUGCUAGCUGUGACGUUACUGACAGAAGAAGCACCGGCUAACUCCGUGCCAGCAGCCGCGGUAAUACGGAGGGUGCGAGCGUUAAUCGGAAUUACUGGGCGUAAAGCGUACGCAGGCGGUUUGUUAAGCGAGAUGUGAAAGCCCCGGGCUCAACCUGGGAACUGCAUUUCGAACUGGCAAACUAGAGUGUGAUAGAGGGUGGUAGAAUUUCAGGUGUAGCGGUGAAAUGCGUAGAGAUCUGAAGGANANUNANCNCGNAUGGCGAAGGCAGCCACCUGGGUCAACACUGACGCUCAUGUACGAAAGCGUGGGGAGCAAACGGGUAUUAGAUACCCCGGUAGUCCACGCCGUAAACGAUGUCUACUAGAAGCUCGGAGCCUCGGUUCUGUUUUUCAAAGCUAACGCAUUAAGUAGACCGCCUGGGGAGUACGGCCGCAAGGUUAAAACUCAAAUGAAUUNGACGGGGGCCCGCACAAGCGGUGGAGCAUGNUGGUUUAAUUCGAUGCAACGCGAAGAACCNUUACCUACACUUGACAUACAGAGAACUUACCAGAGAUGGUUUGGUGNCCUUNCGGGAACUCUGANUACANGGUGCUGCNAUGGCUGUCGUCANGCUCNGUGUUNGNUGNAGAUGUUNGGGUUNAAGUNCCCNGCANACGNAGCGCNAACCCCUAUCCUUNAGUUNGCNUAGCAGGUAAUGCUGAGAANCUCUAAGGAGACUGCCGGUGAUNAAACCGGAGGAAGGUGGGGANCGNACGNUCAAGUCAUCAUGGCCCUUACGUGUAGGGCUACACACGNUGCUACAAUGGCGCAUACAGAGUGCUGCGAACCUGCGAAGGUAAGCGAAUCACUUAAAGUGCGUCGUAGUCCGGAUUGGAGUCUGCAACUCGACUCCAUGAAGUCGGAAUCGCUAGUAAUCGCGUAUCAGAAUGACGCGGUGAAUACGUUCCCGGGCCUUGUACACACCGCCCGUCACACCAUGGGGAGUGGGUUGCUCCAGAAGUAGAUAGUCUAACCCUCGGGAGGACGUUUACCACGGAGUGAUUCAUGACU